UCCGCCCCUGCUCCGUGAAUCCAUCCAGUGCCAACGGAUUCCCAGCUCUAGCAGCGAUCUUGUAAAUGGUUCCCUUCCUCCAAUAGUCGACUGGAAGCCGUGGCAGCCGGAGCCAGACGACCACCCUGCCUACCCCCGUGGCACCGGGCACGAAGUUCGGUCGCCACCUCUCCAUCGCCAACAACUGCCCGGCCACCAUCCAGGGGCCAUUCAUCACCGCAGCCUCGCGAUCAUUCUCCUUGGAAAACCGGAGAACUGUGACCCCAUCCAUCAGCGGGAAGACCUCCACGGUAUAAUCCAACUGGCAAACCCUCUUAAUCUCCC
rnacentral:lncRNA from 1 species